CCUGCAAAACGUUCUAUCGCUUUCCCGACCUGUUCGGGAGGGAGGAAAGUCCGGGCAACACAGAGCAUCCUGCUUCCUAACGGGAAGGCGCUUUAAGCAAGCGACAGCCAGUGCCACAGAAAAUAUACCGCCCGCUAUUCAUAGCAGGUAAGGGUGAAAACGUGAGGUAAGAGCUCACGGCAGUUACGGGCGACCGUGACCGCGGUAAACCUCAGGAGUUGAAAAACCAAAUAGGUCCCGGAAGUGGAGUUGCUCGCUUCCGUAUCCGCCACCGGCGGGUCGCCGGGAUGGGUAGGUUGCUAAAGCC
rnacentral:RNase_P_RNA from 1 species